CCUACGGGAGGCAGCAGUGGGGAAUAUUGCACAAUGGGGGAAACCCUGAUGCAGCGACGCCGCGUGAGUGAAGAAGUAUUUCGGUAUGUAAAGCUCUGUCAGCAGGGAAGAAAGAAAUGACGGUACCUGACCAAGAAGCCCCGGCUAACUACGUGCCAGCAGCCGCGGUAAUACGUAGGGGGCAAGCGUUAUCCGGAAUUACUGGGUGUAAAGGGAGCGUAGACGGUUAAGUAAGUCUGGAGUGAAAGGCCGGGGCCCAACCCCGGGACUGCUCUGGAAACUAUUGAACUUGAGUGCAGGGGAGGUAAGCGGAAUUCCUAGUGUAGCGGUGAAAUGCGUAGAUAUUAGGAGGAACACCAGUGGCGAAGGCGGCUUACUGGACUGUAACUGACGUUGAGGCUCGAAAGCGUGGGGAGCAAACAGGAUUAGAUACCCUGGUAGUC
rnacentral:rRNA from 1 species